AGAUGGCGGAAGAGUAAGGUCUCCAAAUCACCUGUCUCCACCAAAUUACCUAGAAAACCUUCAAAUUAUCCUGAAAAUCUAUCAAUUCGGCCUGAGAUUUAAAGAGAGACCAGCUGGAAUGCAACAGUGAGAAGAGUUCGCGCUUCUAUCAGGUAGGAAGACGGAGAAAAAGAAAUAAAGGAACAAAGGCCUCCAAGGGGGAGGGGCCCCGCGAGGAGCCGGGCUGAGGCCGGGGCGAGUGUCCCCAGGACAGGAGAGCCCCGUCCCGGAGGAGCAGGAGCUGCACCGACCUUCCCGGGCGGAAAGGGGCUCCAGGGAGGUGGAGCAGGACCCAGGAGGGCGGGGAUGCCCUCGGGAUCCCGGGGACACUAACAGACACCUGCGCCCCGGGAGAUGCGCCGAGCUCCCUAAGGGCUGCAGCGCGCACGGCGGGACCCGGAGCAGCUCGGAGGGGCUCGGGCGGAGGAAGAGGAUCCGCGGAGGGGGCUGCGCGGUUCCAGGAGCAGCUCGGGGGGGCUCGGGCGGCGGCUCCGCGGAGGGGGCUGCGCGGCCCGGGAGCGCGAAUCCACCAGCGCAGGCUCCGGAGCACAGGGCGCCGGGACACAGCCCAGGAUCCCGCCUCCCCCGGGACAGGCAGAGGCCGGGAGGGCCCAGGACAGCGAGGACGCUCCUGCCCCAGCUGAGCAGAUCAGCGGCCCCGCCCCGGAGCCUCCAGGCCCUGCAGACGGAGUUCCUGCCGGAGCUGAAUCCAGGUUCCAGAGCUGCCCCGCCACUGGGGCUGUUCCUCCUGCGGCCUCACGGGGUAAACAACCCCCCGCCCCCCACUGAGCCCUGCACCAGGCAGGGGCACAGCAGCUCCCCCAAGUGCUCACACCUGAGAAUCAGCACAGCAGGCCCCUCCCCCAGAACACCAGAUAGACGGACAACUUCCAGGAGAAGCCAAGGGACUUAAAGUACACAGAAUCAGAAGAUACUCCCCCGUGGUUCUUUUUUUGUUUUUGUUUUUGUUUUUGUUUUGUUUUGCUUUUUGAUUUGUUUCCUUCCCCACCCCCUUUUUUUUCUCCUUUCUUUUUCUUUCUCUUUUUCUUCUUUCUUCUUUCUU
rnacentral:lncRNA from 1 species